GCGGGGAUAGUUCAGUUGGGAGAACGUCAGGUAAAUUACCCUCCAUCAAUUUACUCGUCAACACUGUACUAAUAUAUCAUUCAAGACUGAAGUAACACUUCAUCAUUAAUCUGAAGGCCGUGUGUUCGAUCCACACUCACCGCA